CUCAAAAUUGCAUUUCAUUUGCAAAAGUCUCGUUGCACACGGCGGUUCGCGAAUCGCGCUUCCUCUUCCCGCUGCAGCUGUGUGCGUGUGGGUGUACUCGUAUUGGCUGCGUGUAUGUGUGUGCGUAACUACACUGCAAAUUGUGACGGAUUCAUGUGGCCUUAAGGGGGAAAUAACUUGCAUUUGACAGGUGCGAUCAAGUGUGCCGUCUCAUAAAAUAAAAAAGACGUGAAUAACCUAGGAUGUCUGUUUGCAUUCUCUUUUUGCGCCACUGGUAAGCGAGAAAAUUGAUUAAAAUGCACAUUACAAAGGGGAAAUAUAUUAAAAAAUAUAUGUAGCUCAAAUCUUAAGUAUUGCCGAGUGUGUGUGUAUGAGAUGGAGGGAAAGAGAGAGAGAGAGCGAGAGAGAGAACGGGAGAGUGCAGCCAGAAAUUGCAAUACACACAAACAAAUUGCCACGCAAAAAGCGGCCGGCUUGCCCUCCCCCUCCCCUCCUCCACUGGUGCCCCCCUUCGUCCACCCCUUUGUAUGUGUGCAUUGGAUGCACUUGGUGCGAUUCAUUUGCUUUUAUUACCAUUUUUGCCCGUCUCCGUACUCUUUUUUCCUUAUUUUGUGGGGCCUUCUGCGCGGUGGCAACCCUGGCAGCGAAAUGCGUUGGCGAAUAAGUUCUCUACCCUUUUGUCAGUGUGGGACGCGACUUUGAAAUGCUUGGAGCUGGCGGCGAUGCAGCGCUAAAUGCAAUACAAACGUUAAAAACAAAGAAAUAAUAUUAACUGAAAUCAAAGAACUUGUCAAUAUGUUAUACUUCUACUACGCUAUGAAAUGGUGAUCGGUCAAAUGAGAAAAAUGAAUAAAAUGUGCGUGAAAUGUAACCAAAUACUUAACACAAAAUUAACACUUAUUAAUAUAUAAAUUAAACAUUCAAUUAAUACAAUAUAAACUUAUUCUCUGAUAAAACCCGUUUAUACCUUUAAAAUCGAUCUAAUAGCACUAGGAUUUAUAUCAAAAAGUUAUAAAUGAGUACACUUUUUUUAUGCUAAAAUAACAAUGGAUCCGUUUUUGUAUUUAAUCUCAAUCAUAUUAGGUAUCGCGAAAUUUUAAAACCAUCUUGUGCGCCACUCUUUGAUCUUGGAUUAUGUGACAAAACUCACAAUAAUACACAUUUCUGUCCUUUUUCUUACAGUUUUUGAAUUAUGUUUUUCACCACGUUUAGUAGAUUUCGGGGUUGAACUAUUUUUACAAACCCUUUUUAAUUAAUAUAUAAAAUCAAACUAAAACAAAAUAAUAUCUCUCUGCAAUUUUCUUGCCGAAAACCAAUUGAAGGCAAUUAAAACGCAUUUUCUGUGCAAUUGAUGAUGACCUACGACAAAGGAAAUGAAGUCAUACCCUUACACACACGACUCUUACACACACAUCCACACAGCAAGAGGCAAAGUGCAGGCCAAAAGCGAAUAAAGAACAAAAACAACAAGCGGGGGCCCUACGAAAGCCAAGAACAACAAAUUGCAAUUGGCAGUGCGCAUGCACAUGCACACACACAUAGACAACCGCAGCACACACAGAUACUCCAACUCAAGGCAAAUUGCAGUGGUGUUCGGGCGCUUUUGUUCUCCUACAAAAAGAAAAUUCAGCUCGAAAAAGUACUUAAAAAUAUAAUUCCAAUUAAAUUUUGCUUGAAAAUAUUCGAAAUAUUCUACAAAAGUGGGGAACAUUAAUAAAUUAAAACUUUGUCCGCCCCCCUCUUUCAUCCCUUCUCUUUCUACCUUCCUUUAUUUAUAAUAUUAAAAUGCGCGUCAUGCCAACGACAGUUGAAUGCACUCGGCCUUUGCCUCCAAUGGCUUCCCCCUUGACUGAUAAUGAUAAUAAACAGAUUAUUCGCUUUUUCCAAUACAUUUUUGUAUUUAAAUCCAAAGCUGAUUGAAAGCCGCUAGCUUCACUUUUAUGCCACAAAGUAUGCCUCUUAAGUAGUAUUCGACAUUUCAAACACUGAAUGUGUGAAUAAAAAUCUCGUUUUAUUCUUUUCUAUAUGUAAGAAAGGGUUUAAAGAAUUUUAGCACUUUUUUCCAUUGGAAACUCAUAGCUUUUCAAAACCCUCUGCAUUUCAAAACAUAGUAAAUGCGUUAAUAUUGUCUGUAGAGUUUCUGAAUUACUGAUUUGAUAUCUUAUCCCGAACGAGCUGCAUUUUUCAUAUUUUAUACUCUUACUCCCAUGAACUAAAUAUUCUGACUCAUUGUCCGACGGCGUUUCCUUUCGACCUUGAGUGAAGUAUUUAAAGUAGAAUGGGCAGUGCAAUUAUUAAAUUCUCUGCGAACGGCAGGGGCAUUCCAUUGCACUUGGUGGUUGUCCCUCUCUCGGCCAUUUGCUCAUGUUGUGUAUCUACAACUAGAAUUACUCAUCAUCAGCAUUUCCAUAGAAAUCAGAACUCAAAACAAUAAACCAAAGUAGCGUAGACUGUUUAAUUAUUAAAUAGAAUGGCUAUAAUAUAACCUUUUCUUGCAAUCUACUUAAAAUUAGUUCGACUAUAUAUAUAUAUAUAUAUUAUACAUAAUAUAUAAUAUAUUUCUAAAAACAAAACCUGUUGUAAGAAAGAAAUGCUUUGAAAGUUAAAUGAUCAAAAAAGACUUUAAAAUUAAAACUAUAUAAUAAAACAAACGAUAAAACUUGAUGCAUAAAUGAUUUUGAACAAAGGACCUGAAAGCACCAUAAACAGUAAUGCUAGCCAUUUCAAAACUAAAAUCAGAGUAAAUGUGAAUUUAUAGAAUCCUUUCAGGACUUGAACAGUACUUUUCCUACUUCCUUCUUUCGUACCAUUUGAACUCUACAUUUUUUGUUGGGCAAGUGCAAAAGGGAUGGGUAGAGGUGCCAAAGGACAAUGGUUCAAGUGCAAAGAGGAUGCCAAGCCGCAUGCAACAAUGCCAACAACAAGGACCGAACGAACGCCGAAGGACAUGCCGUGCAAUUUCCUUUUCUGUGAUUAUCCGAAACUUAUGUGACAACAAUCAGCAAAUAGUCAUAAACAUAAAUGGCAUUCGUGCUGGCAAUAACGAAUAAAUUCAAUUAUUAUUUGCUUUUCUCUAUUUUCUCUUAUCAAAUUAAAUUCAAUAUAUCAAAUUCAAUUUAAUUUAACUAUCUAGACAAUUUAAGCAUUGACUUUGUUGUGGAAAAAAUCAAAGAUCUAUGUUCAAGUUGACUCAGAGGAUUCCAAUUUCACAACUUCACCUAAUGGAUGAAAGGGGUUGCUUCCUGAUUCUUCGGGACGAAUUGAGUUUCACGACCUCCCUAAUGAUUUCUUAUAACAUGAAAUGGUGCAUACUUACAUAUGGACCAUUAACAGAAACCCGUAAAUCCGAACUUGUGCUGUUUUAUAUCUGUUACAAGACCGGCAUUAUGGGAGUCUGUCAAUGCAAACAACUGGUUUUUGGCAACAAAAUCAAUGACAAAUCUAAAAAACGAAUAAUGGCGGAGUAAGGAUAAAAGUUCAACUUAAAAAAUGAUUACGAGGAAAUACAUAACUUGUAAAGCUAAAGUUGACUGAUUGGACGAUCCAUUUAAGGCCAAACGAAUUAUAAAAAUAAUAAGUAAUAGUCCAACAAUCAAUAAUUAAUCCUAAAACUAAAUUAAAACGACCAGUUUAACAAGAUAAUCAUAUACAAAUAAUAAUAAUAAUAAAAAACGGCAUAAUUAUAAUCAACUUCAGUUUCAAUUUGAAUGGCACUGUUGUAUUAACUUUACUUGAAGACUAAUCUUGUGUAUAUUUCAUUUGACAAUCAAAUUGAACAUAUUUCCUUUAUAGGCGUUUUUAAUAUGAUUUCUCCGCAUUAUUUUCCUUCUUGUUUGCCAACAUCAUUUCAACCCAAAACCGAACCAAAGAAAUCCAGAUGAUCCUUAAAAAACCAAAACCUCCUAGCAAAAAGGACUACACCAAGGACCUUUUUCUCUCUGGCAAAUUGAGGUAGUAGGUUGUAUAGUAGUAAUUACACAUCAUACUAUACAAUGUGCUAGCUUUCUUUGCUUGACUACAAGCCGCAUUUGAUUAAAGAAUCCCAAUCGAACCGCACCACUUACUCCACUUAAUCCCAGCCAUACAAAAGUUGGUGGUGCAACAAAUUUUGAUUGUGGGCAACAAAAAAGUGUUCCGAGCCGGACUUUUGUUCAAUUUCAUUACGAAUGCCUUAAGUAUGUAAAUGCAACCGGGCAUAUGUAAAUAUUGGCAUUGGUGACAUGUGCAAAUGUUUGUAUGGCUGAUUCCCUGAGACCCUAACUUGUGACUUUUAAUACCAGUUUCACAAGUUUUGAUCUCCGGUAUUGGACGCAAACUUGCUGAUGUUAGUAAAAAAUAAGGCAAAAAAGAAAUUACUUUAAAGGCACGACUAUCGGAAGAUCAGAAAAGUUUUCCAGAAGACAUAUGCUGUUCUGCUCGUCAUUUGUGAUUAGAUAAGAUCUGACCUUAUUGCAGAAUUACUCUUGGAUCGGAUGUACUGACCUGUUCAUAAGCUGGUGUUCUUAAAUAAUCUUUAUCUAAGAGUGUGUGUGUUAAAAAUAUAUUUGCAAUUGCAAAAAUUAUUCACAUUCAAAUCAUAAAUUGACGUAACUUGUUUGGUUACGUAGAGAUUUUAAAGUGCAGUUUAGAUACUAUUUGCCUUUAGUGAAAUGAAUGAAGUGAUCUAGCUUUACAAAUAUAACAAUAGCUUGCAUUUCUUAAAUACAUGCAUAUUCGAUUUUAUUUGUAGUUCUUUUGAAAUAAUUCUUUAAAAACCCCCAUAUACAGAAUAGAAGAGUUAUUUUAAUAAUUUCUUAAAAAAAAACAUUUAUUGUUAGCCCAAUGAUUUUGUAUAUCAAAACUAUCACUGAAACCAAUUAUUUUACUAUACAUGAUAAAAAUGUAUUUAAACUACAAGCUACUUCUAAGUUAUAGAGAUACAAUGUGAGAAAGAUUUGAAUAAAUCGAAAAAAGUUAUGAUUUUGAUCUAAACAAUUUCAUUGUCAAGAGAGUACAAAA